rnacentral:lncRNA from 1 species
AAAACAUUAACAUUUUUAUAUAUGAGUUUAGGCAUUUAUGAGGCUGAUCCAGCUAGCAGUAAAAACAGAAGAGGUGUUCUUGCUAGCUGCCAUUUCUGUUUUGGACUGUUCCGAGCAAAAGAUGAGUGGUCUUUCUUUGCAACAGGGCUUUUAUAACCAACAUAAGAGACUUAAGACUGACAGAGGUUUUGAUGCAAUGAUUGGAGCCUCUCACAACUUCCUAUGCUUCAUUUCCCUCCUGUGAUCUGAGACCAGCCAAAGUUGUAAGACUACUCAUACAGAGUAUUUAUGAAAAAUGGAAUGCAGAUUGCCACAGAUACUGGAAAACAGAAAGUCCCUUGCAGGAGAAAAAUAUCCUGUCACCAGGUCCAAUUAUGACAGAGAUGUUGCAGUUAGUCCAUACAGGGAUCAGGAAGGAAGUUGGUGAUCUGAAGCUGCUGUCAAAUUUGGUUGUUAGGCUCUGUACCAUGGACCAUUUGGCAAUAAAGAAAACAAAUGGAAAAAGAAAGAAGGAUAGAGAAAAAGAGAGAUCACAAGGAGGAGAGGAGAAGAGAAAUAAGGAUCAUGUCCCAAAGUUGUUGGCCCAAAGCAGACAAAAGACCAAGAAGCACACCAACUGCAGGUUAUUCAUAACCCCUUUCUGAGAGAAAGAAUGAUGAAGCAAAGUAGAAAUUGGAAGAAAUAGGAGGUUUGAAAAUACUCC